CAAGCAGGGAUAGUGUGUAUCGAUGUUGUGCUAUGAUAAAAUGCAUUUUUCCGAAAGUGUUUUGAGAAAAUGGGCAGUUGUGUUUCAUUUUUAAAGUGGAAAAUCACAACAAUCAUUUUCCCUACAUUU
rnacentral:snoRNA from 1 species